GCCAGGUCUUUCAGAGCUCCGCGGGCAUCGGGCCCCCUUUUCUGAGUGCGCUGGAGAGCCACUGGAGGCUUUUUGCAGGACUUUGCGGGCCAGUGAGGAGGACACACUGGGGCAGGAGGCUCUUGCAGAAACGAGAACACCAGCUUCCUGGAAGGGCCGAGAGCUUGGUUUUGUUCCCUGCUGGGUCCCAGGGGCUGGAAGACUGGCUGGCAUGUAACAGGCCCUUGGCAUAUAUUUGCUGCAUAAAUAAUGGGACCACAGGAACACUAGGACCGCAACAGAAAAAUGAUCGGAAGUCAUGGCCAGGCAAUUCACCUCACAAAAGAAGGACCGAUACCUGCUGUCCUGGUGCCCCUCCUGGCCCUCUGCUGCUCCUCUCUGUCAGCUCUGCACAAACCUCCACCAUGGCCGGGGGCUGAGGCUCAGCAUGGGCCUCUGAGCCACACACUCUGGACCUUCUCCCUGAGCAGGUGAGUCUCCUCUCCCAGCUCUGACCCCAGCCCCAUCAGUGACCUUGUGUUGCACGCCUGCCUUCAGCAAACACUGAGCACCUCCUCUGAGCUGUUCUCGGCUCUAGGAUGCAGCAGGGAACAGAUUUGCAAAGAUCUAGCCCUCAUGGAACGUAUGUUACUCCAGUGGGGGAGACACAAGAAGAAAUAAAAAACACACACAGACAAGAUAAUGACAGGUAGUAAUGAGGACUGUGAGGAGAGAGGGUGACGGAGGUUAGGUGGUCCCUCUGAAGAGGUGACACAGAGCAGGGGUGGAGUGAGGGGAGGAGCCAUGCACCCCAGCAAGAAGGUCCAUCCAGGCAGAGGCUGUGAUGAGGACAGGAUCACAUGGACAUUUGGGGAAUGGCAGGAGGCCAGCGGGGCUGGAGGGAGGGGAGGGACAGUUGGAGCAGAGGUCACAGGUGGUGGGGGUGUGGUAGAGGCAUCAAGAAGGAGGGGCCUGUAGGCCAUAGUGAGCACUGCGGGGUGUGCUGACGUGAGGAGUCCUGAGCACGAUCUCUUCGGCCGCUGUGCUGAGACCAGACUUGAGGGAAGCAGAAAGCAGGGUGCUGCGGUUGGACCCUCUAGUGAGAGGUGAGAGUGGUUGGGGAGAGGGUGAGAUUGGCACAGGGGGACAGAAGGGACAAAGUCUGGGAUAGUAUUUAGAAGGUAGAGCUG